GGGACACGUGGUAUCCUGUCUGAAUAUGGGGGGACCAUCCUCCAAGGCUAAAUACUCCUGACUGACCGAUAGUGAACCAGUACCGUGAGGGAAAGGCGAAAAGAACCCCGGCGAGGGGAGUGAAAAAGAACCUGAAACCGUGUACGUACAAGCAGUGGGAGCCUCUUUUAUGGGGUGACUGCGUACCUUUUGUAUAAUGGGUCAGCGACUUAUAUUCUGUAGCAAGGUUAACCGAAUAGGGGAGCCGAAGGGAAACCGAGUCUUAACUGGGCGUUAAGUUGCAGGGUAUAGACCCGAAACCCGGUGAUCUAGCCAUGGGCAGGUUGAAGGUUGGGUAACACUAACUGGAGGACCGAACCGACUAAUGUUGAAAAAUUAGCGGAUGACUUGUGGCUGGGGGUGAAAGGCCAAUCAAACCGGGAGAUAGCUGGUUCUCCCCGAAAGCUAUUUAGGUAGCGCCUCGUGAACUCAUCUCCGGGGGUAGAGCACUGUUUCGGCAAGGGGGUCAUCCCGACUUACCAACCCGAUGCAAACUGCGAAUACCGGAGAAUGUUAUCACGGGAGACACACGGCGGGUGCUAACGUCCGUCGUGAAGAGGGAAACAACCCAGACCGCCAGCUAAGGUCCCAAAGUCAUGGUUAAGUGGGAAACGAUGUGGGAAGGCCCAGACAGCCAGGAUGUUGGCUUAGAAGCAGCCAUCAUUUAAAGAAAGCGUAAUAGCUCACUGGUCGAGUCGGCCUGCGCGGAAGAUGUAACGGGGCUAAACCAUGCACCGAAGCUGCGGCAGCGACACUAUGUGUUGUUGGGUAGGGGAGCGUUC
rnacentral:rRNA from 1 species